GUUGGGUAGGGGAGCGUUCUGUAAGCCUGUGAAGGUGGCCUGUGAGGGUUGCUGGAGGUAUCAGAAGUGCGAAUGCUGACAUAAGUAACGAUAAAGCGGGUGAAAAGCCCGCUCGCCGGAAGACCAAGGGUUCCUGUCCAACGUUAAUCGGGGCAGGGUGAGUCGACCCCUAAGGCGAGGCCGAAAGGCGUAGUCGAUGGGAAACGGGUUAAUAUUCCCGUACUUGGUGUUACUGCGAAGGGGGGACGGAGAAGGCUAUGUUGGCCGGGCGACGGUUGUCCCGGUUUAAGCGUGUAGGUGUGUGUUCCAGGUAAAUCCGGUUCACUUUAACACUGAGGCGUGACGACGAGGCACUACGGUGCUGAAGCAACAAAUGCCCUGCUUCCAGGAAAAGCCUCUAAGCAUCAGGUAACAUCAAAUCGUACCCCAAACCGACACAGGUGGUCAGGUAGAGAAUACCAAGGCGCUUGAGAGAACUCGGGUGAAGGAACUAGGCAAAAUGGUGCCGUAACUUCGGGAGAAGGCACGCUGACACGUAGGUGAAGUGAUUUACUCAUGGAGCUGAAGUCAGUCGAAGAUACCAGCUGGCUGCAACUGUUUAUUAAAAACACAGCACUGUGCAAACACGAAAGUGGACGUAUACGGUGUGACGCCUGCCCGGUGCCGGAAGGUUAAUUGAUGGGGUCAGCGCAAGCGAAGCUCCUGAUCGAAGCCCCGGUAAACGGCGGCCGUAACUAUAACGGUCCUAAGGUAGCGAAAUUCCUUGUCGGGUAAGUUCCGACCUGCACGAAUGGCGUAAUGAUGGCCAGGCUGUCUCCACCCGAGACUCAGUGAAAUUGAACUCGCUGUGAAGAUGCAGUGUACCCGCGGCAAGACGGAAAGACCCCGUGAACCUUUACUAUAGCUUGACACUGAACAUUGAGCCUUGAUGUGUAGGAUAGGUGGGAGGCUUUGAAGUGUGGACGCCAGUCUGCAUGGAGCCGACCUUGAAAUACCACCCUUUAAUGUUUGAUGUUCUAACGUGGACCCGUAAUCCGGGUUGCGGACAGUGUCUGGUGGGUAGUUUGACUGGGGCGGUCUCCUCCUAAAGAGUAACGGAGGAGCACGAAGGUUGGCUAAUCCUGGUCGGACAUCAGGAGGUUAGUGCAAUGGCAUAAGCCAGCUUGACUGCGAGCGUGACGGCGCGAGCAGGUGCGAAAGCAGGUCAUAGUGAUCCGGUGGUUCUGAAUGGAAGGGCCAUCGCUCAACGGAUAAAAGGUACUCCGGGGAUAACAGGCUGAUACCGCCCAAGAGUUCAUAUCGACGGCGGUGUUUGGCACCUCGAUGUCGGCUCAUCACAUCCUGGGGCUGAAGUAGGUCCCAAGGGUAUGGCUGUUCGCCAUUUAAAGUGGUACGCGAGCUGGGUUUAGAACGUCGUGAGACAGUUCGGUCCCUAUCUGCCGUGGGCGCUGGAGAACUGAGGGGGGCUGCUCCUAGUACGAGAGGACCGGAGUGGACGCAUCACUGGUGUUCGGGUUGUCAUGCCAAUGGCACUGCCCGGUAGCUAAAUGCGGAAGAGAUAAGUGCUGAAAGCAUCUAAGCACGAAACUUGCCCCGAGAUGAGUUCUCCCUGAGACUU
rnacentral:rRNA from 2 species